UACGUAGGUGGCUAGCGUUGUCCGGAUUUACUGGGCGUAAAGAGCGCGCAGGCGGUCGUUCAAGUCGAGUGUGAAAGCCCCCGGCUCAACUGGGGAGGGUCACUCGAUACUGGUCGACUCGAAGGCAGGAGAGGGAAGCGGAAUUCCCGGUGUAGUGGUGAAAUGCGUAGAGAUCGGAAAGAACACCAACGGCGAAAGCACUCUGCUGGGCCGACACUGACACUGAGAGACGAAAGCUAGGGGAGCGAAUGGG
rnacentral:rRNA from 1 species